UAAAACCGUAAAUUAAUUAUCAAACAAUUUUUCACACAAAAAAUCCAAUCACUAUUUUUUGUUUCAUCACUGAGUUCAGUUUACUUUGUUUUUCCUUACUCCUCCUCAUUCUCAUAUACUCUUCUGCCUCCACCUCCUCCUCUUCCUCUUGUCCCUAGCAACCAACAGGAGCAAGGCAGAUCAUGCUCGAUUUUAAGAGAUAAAAAAGUUGCCCCAUAAACACAUUGCAGAGCUGCCAAACCAGGAGGAAGAAGAGGAAUAGGAGGUGGAAAUUCCGAGUAAGUAAAAGGAGGAAGCAGGAGUAUAAAAGGAAGGCGUCUUCAGUCUCUCGAUACCAUUUCUUCCCUCGUCCUUAAGGUAACAGCAAGCACAAGCAAGAUGUUUCGUCUUCGUGGCCUGGUGGCGCUGUUGGUGGUGAUGGUGUUAGUAGCAGCCGUCUCUGCGAGGGAUAGAAGCGAUGAGAAAUACGGUAGCAUCGAAUAUGGCGGAUAUGGUGGCGGCGGAUAUGGUGGCGGCGCAUUAGGUGGUGGCGGAUUUGGUGGUGGCGGAUUUGGUGGUGCCGCAUUAGGUGGUGGCGGAUUUGGUGGUGGCGGAUAUGGCUACUAAAUUCCCGACCCUGCCCACUUACGGAACGUCCUACAUGAUGCUGCCCCAGACAAGUUACCCUCUCUGUUGACUCAUGAUUAAAAAGAAGUGCACGUUC